UACGUGAGGGCGCAAGCGUUAUCCGGAAUUAUUGGGCGUAAAGAGCUCGUAGGCGGUUUGUCGCGUCUGCCGGUGAAAAGUCCGGGGCUCAACUCCGGAUCUGCGGUGGGUACGGGCAGACUAGAGUGAUGUAGGGGAGAACUGGAAUUCCUGGUGUAGCGGUGAAAUGCGCAGAUAUCAGGAAGAACACCAACGGCGAAGGCAGCUCGCUGGGACGGAACUGACGCUAAGGCGCGAAAGCGAUGGGGAGCAAACAGGGAUUAAGAAACCCGUG
rnacentral:rRNA from 1 species